rnacentral:rRNA from 1 species
UACGUAGGGAGCAAGCGUUGUCCGGAAUCAUUGGGCGUAAAGCGCGCGUAGGUGGUCCCGUAAGUCCGCUGUGAAAGUCAAAGGCUCAACCUUUGAAAGCCGGUGGAUACUGUGGGACUAGAGUACGGAAGAGGCGAGUGGAAUUCCUGGUGUAGCGGUGGAAUGCGCAGAUAUCAGGAGGAACACCAAUAGCGAAGGCAGCUCGCUGGGACGGUAUUGACGCUAAGGCGCGAAAGCGUGGGGAGC